GUACCCGUAGCUCAAUUGGAUAGAGCAUUGGUUUGCGGAACCAAAGGUUGGAGGUUCGAUCCCUCUCGGGUACAC
rnacentral:tRNA from 1 species